CAUUAUUGGGCAUUACUCUCAGCUGUGUGCUGUCUAAUUCUCGGUGGCUUGACAAGUAAAACCCUCAACAGUGGAACAGAGAGGCAGAAUAGGAGCAAACUGAUGAAUGAAUUUCCAAGGUCGAGAAUGAACCUUCAUGAUGAACCUCUAGGCCAACACAGACAGCUUCCUAUGGGUGAGACCGAACAGCUGCUGCGAGACGACACGUCCUCCUACAGUACGCGACCUCCUUCAUUUAAAUCUUACAGACACUAACAAUGGUUUUGAAGUCUUUUUUUUGUAAAAAAAACCAAAGCUAUUAGCUGUAAAGUCACGUACAUUUUGAGAGACACUCACAGUUGUGUACAGGACGAUGAUUAAUUUUCAUCACGUGUUCCUUUUUUUAAACAGUCAUUUGCAUAUUUGCUGCGCCUCAUUAGUGUUACUAACACACCUGGGGUUGAUUGCAGCAGUUAUCGCUUCGCAGGCAGAGGCAGGAAGUGUGCCAGGAACAUUAACGCAUUAAUCAUUAAAUCUGAGUGCUGUCCUACUGGUCAGUUUUGUACAUUGUAAAUUUAAAGCCUUCAGCAACCACGUAAGCACAAUGGAGUGUGUUUCCUCAUUGUUAUUAGGCCUUUAACAGCAGACAUUUUGACUUGUCAUAGCAGGAAAUGUGUUACUUUCCCAUGUUAUAGAAUGGGGGGGGGGGAAAUGCCCCCAGUCAAUCCCCUCUAGUGUUUUCACACCAUGGAGCUAGCUUUGGGAGAGAGCUGUUCGGGGCCAGGACAGGUGACAAGGUCACCAAAUGAGAGACUGUCUUUUGGAAGAAUGCUCUUCAUCCACACACUUGUGGUGACCUUACUAAGACACUUAAUGUUUUUCCCCUUAAUUUGUCAUUCAUCAUUGUAUCUGUAAAUGCAGGUUUUCCAGCUAAACUAAUGGUAACACUACUUUCAAUAGCAAUUACCUGGUGUGCUGUUGUAUUAUUUAAAAAAAAAAAAAAAAAAAAAGUUUGAUUAGACCAAACUGACUGCUCUCUUCUGACGCGUUCUCAAGAUUGUUUUUGCAGCCUCCUCGUCCAUCUCUCUGCCAACUUGCUUUAACUUAGGAGCAAAAUUAAGCUUCACAACACGAUCAGUCUUCGUUUUGUAAGCACCGUGGCUUCAGAAGACCUCUGUAAAGGCACCUUUUGUUGCAGUGAAUGCACAGCAUGUGAAGCAUUUUAUGUGACUGUUCACUUCAGAGAGGCAGCAGUAUGUCUAGCAUUUAGGCAGAGCUCCAUGUCGGCGUAUGGUCCUGAUAUUUGUACUAUACAGCAACUGAAUGAAAAACUGAAUUCUCAUUUUUUAACUUGUAUUGUGUGUAUUUGAUCAAUGUGUUUUAAACCCCCCCCCAUUUCACAUCAGUCACGCAACAAAAAGGGUGCAAAAAUAUUUAUUGCUAAUAAACCUGUAGUCAGUUGGUGUAUAUUUGCUUUAUAUUUACAAUAAUAGAGUACAGAGGAAUGGGAAUGUGAAAGAAAAAUCCCAACCAUUUAAAUAAAUACAAAGGGACUGCCACUGAACAAGACUACAAACAUAACCAACUCCAACAGCUCCUAUACAGCUGGACCAAUGAUUGCAGUGAGGAAAAAAAAAACUAUAUAAAUUUUCUUAUACAUAUAUUUAAAUUAUAAUCAGUGAAUCCCAUCCAUAUGCAUUCAGCUGUCGCCUUC